rnacentral:tRNA from 1 species
GGUGGCUCAGUGGUAGAGUGCUUGCCUUGCAUGCAUGAAGCCCUGGAUUCAAUUCCCCAGCACCA